rnacentral:rRNA from 1 species
UACGUAGGGUGCGAGCGUUGUCCGGAAUUAUUGGGCGUAAAGAGCUUGUAGGCGGUUUGUCGCGUCUGCUGUGAAAUCUCAAGGCUCAACCUUGAGCUUGCAGUGGGUACGGGCAGACUAGAGUGUGGUAGGGGAGACUGGAAUUCCUGGUGUAGCGGUGAAAUGCGCAGAUAUCAGGAAGAACACCGAUGGCGAAGGCAGUUCUCUGGGGCCGUAACUGACGCUGAGGAGCGAAAAGCGUGGGGAGCGAACAGG